AAGGGUAGAGCUCAGUGGCAGAGCUUGUGCUUAGCAUGCACAGGGUCCUGGGUUCAAUCCCCAGUACCUCCA
rnacentral:tRNA from 1 species